rnacentral:rRNA from 1 species
AAGCGGAGGAAAAGAAACCAACAGGGAUUGCCUUAGUAGCGGCGAGUGAAGCGGCAAAAGCUCAAAUUUGAAAUCUGGCACUUUCAGUGUCCGAGUUGUAAUUUGAAGAAGGUAUCUUUGGGUCUGGCUCUUGUCUAUGUUUCUUGGAACAGAACGUCACAGAGGGUGAGAAUCCCGUGCGAUGAGAUGUCCCAGACCUAUGUAAAGUUCCUUCGAAGAGUCGAGUUGUUUGGGAAUGCAGCUCUAAGUGGGUGGUAAAUUCCAUCUAAAGCUAAAUAUUGGCGAGAGACCGAUAGCGAACAAGUACAGUGAUGGAAAGAUGAAAAGAACUUUGAAAAGAGAGUGAAAAAGUACGUGAAAUUGUUGAAAGGGAAGGGCUUGAGAUCAGACUUGGUAUUUUGUAUGUUACUCUCUCGGGGGUGGCCUCUACAGUUUACCGGGCCAGCAUCAGUUUGGGCGGUAGGACAAUUGCAAAGAAAUGUGGCACUGCCUCGGUAGUGUGUUAUAGUCUUUGUCGAUACUGCCAGCCUAGACUGAGGACUGCGGCUUCGGCCUAGGAUGUUGGCAUAAUGAUCUUAAGUCGCCCGUCUUGAA